rnacentral:rRNA from 1 species
CCUACGGGAGGCAGCAGUGGGGAAUAUUGGGCAAUGGGCGCAAGCCUGAUCCAGCAACGCCGCGUGAAGGAAGAAGGCUUUCGGGUUGUAAACUUCUUUUCUCAGGGACGAAGAAAGUGACGGUACCUGAGGAAUAAGCCACGGCUAACUACGUGCCCGCAGCCGCGGGAAUACGUAGGUGGCAAGCGUUAUCCGGAUUUACUGGGUGUAAAGGGCGUGUAGGCGGGGAAGCAAGUCAGAUGUGAAAACCACGGGCUCAACCUGUGACCUGCAUUUGAAACUGUUUUUCUUGAGUACUGGAGAGGCAGACGGAAUUCCUAGUGUAGCGGUGAAAUGCGUAGAUAUUAGGAGGAACACCAGUGGCGAAGGCGGUCUGCUGGACAGCAACUGACGCUGAGGCGCGAAAGCGUGGGGAGCAAACAGGAUUAGAUACCCCGGUAGUC